rnacentral:rRNA from 1 species
UACGUAGGGUGCAAGCGUUGUCCGGAAUUAUUGGGCGUAAAGAGCUUGUAGGCGGUUUGUCGCGUCUGCUGUGAAAUUUCGGGGCUCAACCCCGAACUUGCAGUGGGUACGGGCAGACUAGAGUGUGGUAGGGGAGACUGGAAUUCCUGGUGUAGCGGUGAAAUGCGCAGAUAUCAGGAGGAACACCGAUGGCGAAGGCAGGUCUCUGGGCCACUACUGACGCUGAGAAGCGAAGCAUGGGGAGCGAACAGG